CUGCCUUGUGGUUUGGAAAGGGGUUAACACUUUCCCCUCCCAAACCUCAGCUCACCAGCACAUAUCCCUUGUGCUGCAAUUAUUGAAUGACACUUCACAACUUCAUCUCCUCUCCUGCUACAUCUGCUUGCUGCUCCCAUGUGCAACCUUGCUCACAUCCCAAACAUCUAAAUGCAUUGUUUCCUCUGUUUCUCCUGCCAGCAUGGAAAGGAGCCAUCCCUGAAGCAGGAUUGCCUUUGAGCUGGCAGCAGACGAGUGAUUGGCAUUGGGCAGUGCUGCUGAGACUCUGGCAGGCCGUUUAGCAGAGAACCUUGGCUAAUGAAUGUCAUCCACACCUAGCAGAUGUGCCACUGCCUGCCAUGCCAGAUUUUUGACAUAAUACAGGGCUGCUGGACACGACAGUGCUCGGGAAAAGCCAGGGAGGGACUUGUGCCUUCAACGUGGCGUUUGGUCCUUCUCGUGCUCUGCAAGAGAAACGAAACCUGCAGAAGGGAGGGAGGCACAGCCGCGUCUCCCGGCCCUCCACCCUGGUUUUAUCGAUACAGAUAUACAAGGCAAACCAAAGGUUUCGGCUGCUAUUCAGUGCCUCCUCAUUUGUCCCAGAGCCGUAACAGUGGUGCCCUUUCUCUUCUGGCUGCUUUUCCCUGCUUCUGGAGCAGCAGUUAUGGGAGAAGCAGAUGGCUACUGAUUGGGGACUGUCACUCGCUGCAGAGGCCAAGGCCUCCAGAGCCCCCGGGCAGCACCAGGAGGGGAGAGGCCAUCCCUGCAGGAGGAUUAUCCACCUGAGGGAACAUGCUGGGCACUCAGCUCCUGCCGUGCGUAACUCAGCGACCACCCAGGGUCCGGCGGGGAGCUGUGAGUGACAUCCUCACGGACCGACAGCAGAGAACUCCUGUGGCCACCAAAAAGACGUGCAGCCCACCACUCUGAGCUCAGGUGUCCUGAGGAGAUGGAGCCCAGCACUGCCCCACCCCAUGCCGGUCCCAGCAUGGGACGUGCUGGUGGCACACACAGGGACAGAAAGGCCCAAGGGUGUACAGGAGGCGGAGGCAGAUUUCAGUCCUGCAGGGAUUCCCCUUCUUCCAUUUCUCUCCCUUUUCUGUCCUUCGUAGCCAAUCAUGUCUUCUGUCAGGCUGUUAAAUGUUUGAAGGAAGGUGAAGCUAGGUGAAAGAUUUCCAGGUUUUAAACCUUGAUGCUGCUGUCAGGCCAAGAAAGGAGGAGAAGCAGAAAGCCUGAGAAAAAUAAUUCUGAAAUAGAAAGUCAGCAGUGAUAGAGGGCUAUGUAUGAACCGUUUAACCAGCCACCUGUAUUAUGUUUAGUGGUCUAGGGUUAUCGGUAAUAAAAAGAAUUCCUGUGACCCUUUGGUGAAUAUG
rnacentral:lncRNA from 1 species